AAGCUCAGAAGUUUCCUACGACCUCACUGCUCUGAGAAUUUCUGCUUUGAUGCAAUCUGAUGGUAAUUAUUGUUAAUUCAAGUGAAAAAUAAAGCCUGGCGCCGGGGCUUCAUACUGUUACUCAUGGCACGGCUAACCCUGACGUGGAAUGGUUCCUUCGCGAUCGUCACCUACGCUUCAAUAGUCCUACAGGCCACAGGCUCCAACCUGAGCAUCAGCCCUGAAUUACAGUCCGUCAGUUUUCCAAUUAUCAUGAUUAUUGCAUCCUUCACGUUGAUUGCAAUUUCCGAAAAGUGUGGUAGAAAGCCCCUCCACGUUGGUGCAUAUCUUCUGACGUCUAUCGGUCACACAGGUAUUGGAGUAUCACGGUUACUUAUGCGGGUCGGAUAUUCCAUAUGCUCAUGGAUUCCCAUUCUGUUUAUGAUAUUAGCUAUUUCCACGUAUGCGGGUGGAGUCAGGCCGCUGCCCUAUAUCAUUAGUGUUGAAAUGUUCAACUUUCAGGUACGAGCAAAACUUUUAGGCCUACUACACACCUUCGGCUGGUGUUCAAUGUCAUCUCAGCUCUUUGCGUUCGGCCCACUUGUGGACUCAUUUGGACUACAUUACACGUUCAUUCUUUUUGGAGUUAUCAACCUACUUGGUGCCUGUAUUGCUAUGUUUAUACCGGAAACGAGGGGGAAAACGGAGGAAGAAGUUAUGGGAAAAUUGGGCAAGAAAAGA